UACGAAGGGGGCUAGCGUUGUUCGGAAUUACUGGGCGUAAAGCGCACGUAGGCGGAUUGUUAAGUCGGGGGUGAAAUCCUGGAGCUCAACUCCAGAAUUGCCUUCGAUACUGGCUUUCUAGAGGCUGGAAGAGGUUAGUGGAAUUCCCAGUGUAGAGGUGAAAUUCGUAGAUAUUGGGAAGAACACCAGUGGCGAAGGCGGCUAACUGGUCCAGAUCUGACGCUGAGGUGCGAAAGCGUGGGGAGCAAACAGGG
rnacentral:rRNA from 1 species